ensembl:ncRNA D2089.7 ncRNA
AAGUUUGAUACCGAUCCAUUGGCGACGCUCUGUAAGUUUGGUCUGAUUAGAAAUCAAAAAAUGUUUUAGUUAUUUUUAUGUUUUAUGAAACUCUGUGAAAGAACCUUCUAUCGACCUUGAAAACUGAAGUUAAUAUAAAAAAAUUUCAAUUAAAAAAUGUUCAAAACUCGCUUUUCCAGCUGCUCGACCUGUGGAUGCUGCCCCAACCACAAC